rnacentral:rRNA from 1 species
UGGGGAAUAUUGGACAAUGGGCGAAAGCCUGAUCCAGCCAUGCCACGUGAGUGACGAAGGCCUUAGGGUUGUAAAGCUCUUUUGGCGGGGAAGAUAAUGACGGUACCCGCAGAAUAAGCUCCGGCUAACUUCGUGCCAGCAGCCGCGGUAAUACGAAGGGAGCUAGCGUUGUUCGGAAUCACUGGGCGUAAAGCGCACGUAGGCGGAUUGUUUAGUCAGGGGUGAAAUCCCGGGGCUCAACCUCGGAACUGCCUUUGAUACUGGCAAUCUCGAGUCCGAUAGAGGUGGGUGGAAUUCCUAGUGUAGAGGUGAAAUUCGUAGAUAUCAGGAAGAACAUCAAUGGCGAAGGCAGCCUUCUGGGCCAUUAUUGACGCUGAGGCUCGAAAGCGUGGGGAGCGAACAGGAUUAGAUACCCAAGUAGUCCCUGAGCGGGCUGGCAAGGCGCAU